AACGAACGCUGGCGGCAGGCUUAACACAUGCAAGUCGAACGCAUCCUUCGGGGUGAGUGGCAGACGGGUGAGUAACGCGUGGGAACGUGCCCUUCAGUUCGGGAUAACCCAGGGAAACUUGGGCUAAUACCGGAUACGUGCGCGAGCAGAAAGAUUUAUCGCUGAAGGAUCGGCCCGCGUCUGAUUAGCUAGGUGGUGGGGAAAUGGCGCACCAAGGCGACGAUCAGUAGCUGGUCUGAGAGGAUGAUCAGCCACAUUGGGACUGAGACACGGCCCAAACUCCUACGGGAGGCAGCAGUGGGGAAUAUUGGACAAUGGGCGCAAGCCUGAUCCAGCCAUGCCGCGUGAGUGAUGAAGGCCUUAGGGUUGUAAAGCUCUUUCGUCCGGGACGAUAAUGACGGUACCGGAAGAAGAAGCCCCGGCUAACUUCGUGCCAGCAGCCGCAGUAA
rnacentral:rRNA from 1 species